rnacentral:lncRNA from 1 species
CGGAAGUGGUACUAGGAGCGAGGAAGGACAUGCACGCGAGAACGAGCUGAAAACGAAGAAUCAGGGCUGCCAUGACAGACAGUAGCGCGCCCGCGCUACUUGUUAGCGCGCCCGCGCUACCUACUGCUGCCACUAGCGCGCCUGCGCUAGUUUAGCGCGGCCGCGCCCAGCAGAAGUCCCCCGGGCCGAUUUUUGAAGCUUUCUGAUGGAUUUUCGCAGCGGUCGAGGCCCGGUUGACUUGGUCAAUGUAUUUUAAAUUCUCGUGUGUAAAACCCUAGCCUCCAAGUAGUUUUAGCAGAGAACAAUAUCAUAGUUUAAUUUUUAUCGAAGCACAUUAUCAGUUUGUAUUGGAUCGUUCUUCGCGAGGAAGUGACAGUUUCGAGCGAGUUCGUGAACAUCAAUUCUGUAACGUUGUGAUCUUUAUUAUUAAUUCAAGCAUUUUUAUUCCAUUUAA